AAACCAACAGGGAUUGCCUUAGUAACGGCGAGUGAAGCGGCAAUAGCUCAAAUUUGAAAUCUGGCGCUUGCGUCCGAGUUGUAAUUUGUAGAGGAUGAUUUUGGUUAGGUACCUUUCGAGUUCCUUGGAACAGGACGCCUUAGAGGGUGAGAGCCCCGUACGAUUGGAUGCCGAGCCUCUGUAAAUCUCCUUCGACGAGUCGAGUAGUUUGGGAAUGCUGCUCUAAAUGGGAGGUAAAUUUCUUCUAAAGCUAAAUACCGGCCAGAGACCGAUAGCGCACAAGUAGAGUGAUCGAAAGAUGAAAAGCACUUUGAAAAGAGGGUUAAAUAGCACGUGAAAUUGUUGAAAGGGAAGGAUUUAUGACCAGACUUUUUCUAGGAGGAUCAUCCGGUGUUCUCACCGGUGCACUUCUUCUAGUUUAGGCCAGCAUCGACUUCUGGCGGCGGAUAAAAGCUUUAGGAAUGUGGCUCCCUACGGGGAGUGUUAUAGCCUAUUGUAUAAUACGCUGCUGGGGGUCGAGGUACGCGCUUCUGCAAGGAUGCUGGCGUAAUGGUUAUCAAUCACCCGUCUUGAAACACGGACCAAGGAGUCGAACAUUUAUGCGAGUGUUUGGGUGUUAAACCCUCACGCGUAAUGAAAGUGAACGGAGGUGAGAGCCCUUACGGGUGCAUCAUCGACCGAUCCUGAAGUUUUCGGAUGGAUUUGAGUAAGAGCAUAACUGUUCGGACCCGAAAGAUGGUGAACUAUGCGUGGAUAGGGUGAAGCCAGAGGAAACUCUGGUGGAGGCUCGCAGCGGUUCUGACGUGCAAAUCGAUCGUCAAAUCUGCGCAUGGGGGCGAAA
rnacentral:rRNA from 2 species